GAUUAGUGACCCGGGGGGGCUUGCGGGAGUGCGCAGCGCGGCCGGGCGCGACUGGAGGCCCUUUUGGCCUGGAGAGCUUCGGCCUUCACGGCUGGCGCAGCCUGGAUUCCCGUCCGGAGGACUCGGCGGCACCCGGUGUUUGCGUGCCUGCGAGCAAGGGGUAGAACGCGGCCCAGGAAUGUGGGAGGGGGCGGCCUUCGCUCGGGGUAAUGGCGGCGGCCUCUUUUGUGUGGUGCUGGGCGGCGCUGUGGCUCACUCCUGGGAGACGGCGGGUUUCGGGCGGGCGAAGGCCUGGAAAGGAGGAUGGAAUGGGUUUCUUGUUUUUCCCGGGUUCCUUCCGCAGGCUCUUUCGCUUCAGCCCAGGUUCCGCAGGGUCCGGGGGCCCUGAGCCGCAGCCGGGGAGGCUGCGUUUCCGGAGUGGAAAGUUUUGUGACGCAGAAGAUUGGGGAGGAGUGGGGGAGGGGUGGGGGCGGGGAGGGGAGGCAGGAAUGGGCCGCUGCGCGCUGGGCUCUGGAGAUAGAGGUUGGACGCGGCGGGGAGGUUAGGGAACCAGCGAGGCCCUUUCUCCUCCUUGCUUGCCCCAGAUUGUCCCUGUGUGGUGUGUUAUCCAGGAGUCCCGCGUUGUUUUUCUGGGGUGGAGGGGUCAUCGCGGGUUGUGGGAGUGUCUUCAUGUUAGUGACUGUGAUCCAGGAAUCCGCCAUUGGAAAAACACCCGGCUUAGCGGGGAAGUAAAACAGUUUUCUUGUUGACUUGUUGCUGUCUGUGGAGUAGAAUUUUGCAAUGGGUCCGAGGCCCCCGGGUCUUUUCUCUUAGCCAGAAUCCCCUCUUCUAAGGGUUUAGGGGCAGAGGAGAGAAAGAUGGGUGAUCUGAGAGGAGAAGGUUAUGGGCUUUGGUGGCAGGAAGUCUGCAUCCCACCGCAACAGUGGCACCAGGCUUCAGAUAAGCUCUUGUGUGGGUUAUGCGGAGCUUUUAAAUAAACUUCUGUCUACUGUGAUUAGGGGAGCGUUGAUUUCACAAACUCCGGAAUAAUCCUGAGACGAAGUUUAGUGGCACAAAUUAAUUGAAUACAUAUUUUAAUGUAGUCAUUUGUAAUAUUUUUUAGGAACUGAUCUGUUCCUUUGGAAGCAUUUUCUACCCGUUAAUGAACCAAUUAUAUUAAAUCCUCUAAUUGCUGACACUUCAUAUGUUGAAUUGAACACAAACACUUUAACCUACCAGCAGCACAGAAUAUUCCCAGUUUUACCAUUUUCCAUUUAGCUAUAGUGUCCUUUUAAGGAUUCUAGGCAGCAGUGAACCUUAUUUAAAAAGCAAAAUUGUGCUAUAACAAGUGCAAAAGGAAAGUUUGUGUUCCUACCGUGCUUUAAAGUAUUGACAGUAGCAAGAAAGCGCGGUGGUGUUUUUGCUCAUAGAAAUUCUGGAAAUUAGCUGCCUGAAGUCUUACACUCAUUUUUUAAAAGUAUAGCAUCUGCUUCCAGUUUUCAGUGACUCCAUUGAUGAUGCAUGCGGUUUGGCAGUAUCAUACUGAGCUUUAAACACAAGAUUUAUAAACAUGGUAUGUAGUGCAUCUUUUGCAAACAGGUUGGCAACGGUACUGUGUGACUUGGUCUUUUGUGGCUUUUUUGAGAAAAACGAAACACUUCGCAUAUACAGUUUUUUUCCCCCAACUACUUGUGAGUAGUUCCUGGUUAUAAAAAGUUAUGAAGGUAGCACAUAACCCUUUUCUAGAAUGAAGAGGCUUUUGAGCUACCAGUGUAAGGGGAUAGGUAGAAAUAGAGAUGAAAGGCACUAAGAUGUCCUACUCUUCAAGAGCAUUGAACGCCAGUUGUGCCAUUUAUUCAAAGUCAUCUUUGAACUUACGUUAAAAUGGGGUAAAAACAGGUAACUACUUCAGGCUGGGCUCAUGCUUGUAAUCCCAAUGCUUUGGGAGGCCAAGGCAGGUGGUUCACCUGACCUGAGGUCAGGAGAUCAGCCUGGGCAACAUGGCGAAACCCCGACUCUACAAAGUACAAAAAGUAGCCUAGCGUGGUGGCGCACCCCUGUAAUCCCAGCUACUCGGGGAGGCGGAGGUUGCAGUGAGCCGAGAUCACACGACUGAAUUCCAGCCUGGAUGACAGAGGGAGACUCUGUCUC
rnacentral:sRNA from 1 species